ACACUAUGGGAGAAAAAUUGCAACUUUUCUCAGAAAUGUAUGAAAACAACUCCAGAAUGAAACUAUUGUUGUAUCUUAUGGCUGUCACGGUCAUUUAAUAACGACUGGUGAGCAGAAAUACAAGAUAAUUUGACCUUCACAACCAAUUUUAGGGUCUGUGGAGGCAGAGGCGUAGCCAGAGGGGUGUCCGGCAAUUUGAUGUUGAUUGACAUCUCAUUUCACCUCUUGUUGAAGGAAGCGUUUAUUUUGAAGUUUUCAAAUCAAGGACGAGGAACAGAGAAUAUUAAUGUUGGUUGCGAGAUACAUAAGAAUAAGAAGAACAUACAGAAGAAGAAGAGAGAAUAUUUCCACGGCUCUACAAGCUCUUUUCGCGAUUGGUGAAAGCAUCAUAUUUGAAAUGUAUCAAGGGAUGACACAGAGACCUCUGGCUCUGAGCAAGACAGUGAGCCAGAGCUGCCAGGAGAUGGGAGCCCCUCCCAACUGCAUCAAGCACCAGAUAUGCUGUUCCAAAAGGACCCAAUGACAUUCAAGAUCUAAUUUUGAAAACAUCCAUGUUUGAAAACAUUUCCCAGAACUCAGCAUGGUACUAGGAAAAGGGCUUUCAACAGCUCCUGGUAUAAGGACAAUUCAUGGCUUGAAUAUUCUGUAAGUCAAGGAUCCACUUAUUGUUUCGCAUGUAGGCAUUUUUCUCUGCCCAAUACACCUGAAUCUGCCUUCACAUCACAGUAAGGUUUUUGUAACUGGAAAAAGGCGCUGUUUAAAGAUUCUGGGUUUUGUCACGUUCUGACCUUAGUUCCUUUUUUAUGUCUUUGUGUUAGUUUGGUCAGGGCGUGAGUUGG